GUGAGCGUAGCUCAGCCGGUAGAGCGCCAGAUUGUGGAUCUGGAAGUCGCGGGUUCGAACCCCGUCGCUCACCCCA
rnacentral:tRNA from 1 species